rnacentral:rRNA from 1 species
CCUACGGGUGGCAGCAGUGGGGAAUAUUGCACAAUGGGCGCAAGCCUGAUGCAGCCAUGCCGCGUGUGUGAAGAAGGCCUUCGGGUUGUAAAGCACUUUCAGCGGGGAGGAAGGCGUUAAGGUUAAUAACCUUGUCGAUUGACGUUACCCGCAGAAGAAGCACCGGCUAACUCCGUGCCGGCAGCCGCGGUAAUACGGAGGGUGCAAGCGUUAAUCGGAAUUACUGGGCGUAAAGCGCACGCAGGCGGUCUGUCAAGUCGGAUGUGAAAUCCCCGGGCUCAACCUGGGAACUGCAUUCGAAACUGGCAGGCUAGAGUCUUGUAGAGGGGGGUAGAAUUCCAGGUGUAGCGGUGAAAUGCGUAGAGAUCUGGAGGAAUACCGGUGGCGAAGGCGGCCCCCUGGACAAAGACUGACGCUCAGGUGCGAAAGCGUGGGGAGCAAACAGGAUUAGAUACCCGAGUAGUC